AUCUAAAUCUUUUGAGGAUUUUCUCGAUUUUAGUUUUAGCUUCAACCUUAAAGAUUUUAAAUAUAUCUAAGACUUCAUAUUUAGAUCUAAUUAGAUAUGUAUAACAAUAUCAAAAGAAAUCAUAAAUGAAAGUUAUGAAGUAAUGAUUUCCUUUUUAAGUUGAAAUUUUGGUAAAAUCACACACAUCACUAUAAACUAGAUGAAAAGGUUAGAACUUCUA
rnacentral:lncRNA from 1 species